rnacentral:rRNA from 1 species
CCUACGGGUGGCUGCAGUGGGGGAUAUUGCACAAUGGGCGAAAGCCUGAUGCAGCGACGCCGCGUGAGGGAAGACGGUCUUCGGAUUGUAAACCUCUGUCUUUGGGGAAGAAUAGAGACGGUACCCAAAGAGGAAGCUCCGGCUAACUACGUGCCAGCAGCCGCGGUAAUACGUAGGGAGCGAGCGUUGUCCGGAAUUACUGGGUGUAAAGGGAGCGUAGGCGGGCUUGUAAGUUGAAUGUCUAAUCCACCGGCUCAACCGGUGAUCGCGUUCAAAACUGCAGGUCUUGAGUGAAGUAGAGGCAGGCGGAAUUCCUAGUGUAGCGGUGAAAUGCGUAGAUAUUAGGAGGAACACCGGUGGCGAAGGCGGCUCACUGGACUGUAACUGACGUUGAGGCUCGAAAGCGUGGGGAGCAAACAGGAUUAGAUACCCGAGUAGUC